UACGAAGGGUGCAAGCGUUACUCGGAAUUACUGGGCGUAAAGCGUGCGUAGGUGGUUUGUUAAGUCUGUUGUGAAAGCCCCGGGCUCAACCUGGGAAUGGCAAUGGAUACUGGCGGGCUAGAGUUCUGGAGGGGAUAGCGGAAUUCCAGGUGUAGCGGUGAAAUGCGUAGAUAUCUGGAGGAAUACCGGAGGCGAAGGCGGCUUGCUGGGCUUGGUCUGACGCUGAGGCGCGAAAGCGUGGGGAGCGAACAGG
rnacentral:rRNA from 1 species